rnacentral:rRNA from 1 species
UACGGAGGAUGCAAGCGUUAUCCGGAAUGAUUGGGCGUAAAGCGUCCGCAGGUGGCUGUGUAAGUCUGCUGUUAAAGAGUCUAGCUCAACUAGAUACAGGCAGUGGAAACUACACGGCUAGAGUACGUUCGGGGCAGAGGGAAUUCCUGGUGUAGCGGUGAAAUGCGUAGAGAUCAGGAAGAACACCGGUGGCGAAGGCGCGCUGCUAGGCCGUAACUGACACUGAGGGACGAAAGCUAGGGGAGCGAAUGGG